rnacentral:tRNA from 1 species
AAUUAAUUAAAUUUUUCAGGACUUCGAAUCCUAAAAAGCAAAAGGCUUUAAUUU